GACGAACGCUGGCGGCGUGCUUAACACAUGCAAGUCGAGCGGUAAGGCCCUUUCGGGGGUACGACGAGCGGCGAACGGGUGAGUAACACGUGGGUGACCUGCCCUCAGCUCUGGGAUAAGCCUGGGAAACCGGGUCUAAUACUGGAUAUGACUCCAUGACGCAUGUUGUGGGGUGGAAAGCCUUGUGCGGCUGAGGAUGGGCCCGCGGCCUAUCAGCUUGUUGGUGGGGUGAGGCCUACCAAGGCGACGACGGGUAGCCGGCCUGAGAGGGCGACCGGCCACACUGGGACUGAGACACGGCCCAGACUCCUACGGGAGGCAGCAGUGGGGAAUCUUGCGCAAUGGGCGAAAGCCUGACGCAGCGACGCCGCGUGAGGGAUGACGGCCUGGUGUAACU
rnacentral:rRNA from 1 species